CGACGCCGACGCAGCCUCCGCCUUCGCCCCUGAACCCGACUCUAACGCCGACACCUCUCCGCCGGUUGCCUCCGUCGCCCCCGACUCCGACGCCGACGCCCCGCCGCCUCCGCCUCCGCGAGGGACAUCGACGACCUGCCGAAGAACGCGGCCAACUAUCCUGUCGGUCCUUUCGGCACGAAGAGGUGAUCUGAGCAGAGGCAAAAGGCGCCUUUGACUUUUGGGUCGGCGUCAUCGUCGCUGGUUCUCAAUUGGGUCGGGUCAUCCGUUGUCUUUCCACUCCAUGGCAAUGUUUUCCCAACUGGGUCAUAUAACACAACUGUCUUCAUUGGGCAGCCACCAAAGCCUUACUUUCUUGAUCCUGACACUGGUAGUGACCUCACAUCGCUCCAAUGUGAUGCCCCUUGUGUACGAUGCACCCAGACGCCACAUCCGCUUUAUCGACCCAACAAGGACCUAGUAAUCUGCAGGGACCCAAUUUGCGCGUCCCUUCAUUCAGGUGACUACAGAUCUGACCACCCAGGGCAAUGUGACUACGAGGUCCAGAAGGUUCUAAAAUUCCACCAAUGGAAAAGUCUCAAAAUGCUUUAAGUGUUGGUCCAUCAUUACGACUUCAAGGAUUAAACGAUGUUGGUCUACAUGGAAAAGGCACUGCUAUUGUCUCUGCUUCUGGAUCAUCAGACAGGAAUUUGUCUACCUCAACCAUUAUGGAAAGAAUUCCAAGCAGGUGGCCACAUCCUGUGUGGCAUCCUCCAUGGAAGAACUACAGGGUCAUAAGUGGGCAUUUGGGAUGGUCAUAAGUGGGCAUUUGGGAUGGGUGAGAUCUAUCGCAUUUGAUCCUAGCAAUCAAUGAUUCUGCACUGGCUCUGCAGAUCGGAUAAUUAAGGUCAAAGUUCUCAACAAACUUGCUUCAGCUCGAGCUUCAGGAGCAGGUAGCGGCAGCAGAGUCUUGACAGAUUUGAUAGAGGGUCUAGAAGAAGCAACUGUUGCUGUAGAAUUGAGGUUGAAGAUCAACCAGAGUCAUCCGGACUUAAAGGGAGGAUCUUUCCAAGACUAUGGAGAGGCAGUGUUGAAGCACUUGGAGAACUCUAUUGAUUUAGACCCAAAGCUUCAGAAAGCUCCAGUAAAUUAUGAAGGAGUCCGGGUAUCUGGGUUUUGAGGAUGGUUCCUUCUGAGGCUCUCGCUUCAUGAUCCUGUUCUUCCUCUUAACAUUGAGGCACCAACUCACGAUGACGCUGUAAACUUGGACUUGCCGUGCUUGGGGCUGUUAAGGAGUGAUUUUAGCAUCUACCUCUGUACAGUACGUAUAAUUAGUGCGUCAAUCUGACUUUGAGGAGGUUCAUUUUUCAGAUGGUGUUGGUCACAGGCACUCGAAAUACUAGUUGAUGGCUAUGUUUACUUUAGUUUUUACUUAUGUUCCAUGUAUGCUACAAAGAUGUUCUGAUAAAUAAGAAACGUUCUUCGACUACAGAAUUUGUCGAAGGGAUGUUUGAAGUUGU